rnacentral:rRNA from 1 species
CAGUCGAGCGGCAGCGGGAGGAAGCUUGCUUCCUCGCCGGCGAGCGGCGGACGGGUGAGUAAUGUCUGGGGAUCUGCCCGAUGGAGGGGGAUAACCACUGGAAACGGUGGCUAAUACCGCAUAACGUCGCAAGACCAAAGUGGGGGACCUUCGGGCCUCACACCAUCGGAUGAACCCAGAUGGGAUUAGCUAGUAGGUGGGGUAAUGGCUCACCUAGGCGACGAUCCCUAGCUGGUCUGAGAGGAUGACCAGCCACACUGGAACUGAGACACGGUCCAGACUCCUACGGGAGGCAGCAGUGGGA